CUCUGUGACUCCUACGGGAGGCAGCAGUGGGGAAUAUGCACAAUGGGCGCAAGCCUGAUGCAGCCAUGCCGCGUGUGUGAAGAAGGCCUUCGGGUGUAAAGCACUUUCAGUUGUGAGGAAGGUGGUGUCGUUAAUAGCGGCAUCAUUUGACGUUAGCAACAGAAGAAGCACCGGCUAACUCCGUGCCAGCAGCCGCGGUAAUACGGAGGGUGCGAGCGUUAAUCGGAAUUACUGGGCGUAAAGCGCAUGCAGGUGGUUGUUAAGUCAGAUGUGAAAGCCCGGGGCUCAACCUCGGAACUGCAUUUGAAACUGGCAGACUAGAGUACUGUAGAGGGGGUAGAAUUUCAGGUGUAGCGGUGAAAUGCGUAGAGAUCUGAAGGAAUACCGGUGGCGAAGGCGGCCCCCUGGACAGAUACUGACACUCAGAUGCGAAAGCGUGGGGAGCAAACAGGAUUAGAUACCCUGGUAG
rnacentral:rRNA from 1 species